CCUACGGGAGGCAGCAGUAGGGAAUCUUCCACAAUGGGCGAAAGCCUGAUGGAGCAACGCCGCGUGGGUGAAGAAGGUCUUCGGAUCGUAAAACCCUGUUGUUAGAGAAGAAAGUGCGUGAGAGUAACUGUUCACGUUUCGACGGUAUCUAACCAGAAAGCCACGGCUAACUACGUGCCAGCAGCCGCGGUAAUACGUAGGUGGCAAGCGUUAGCCGGAUUUAUUUGGCGUAAAGGGAACGCCGGCGGUCUUUUCAGUCUGAUGUGAAAGCCUUCGGCUUAACCGGAGUAGUGCAUUGGAAACUGGGAGACUUGAGUGCAGAAGAGGAGAGUGGAACUCCAUGUGUAGCGGUGAAAUGCGUAGAUAUAUGGAAGAACACCAGUGGCGAAAGCGGCGCUCUGGUCUGUAACUGACGCUGAGGUUCGAAAGCGUGGGUAGCAAACAGGAUUAGAUACCCGAGUAGUC
rnacentral:rRNA from 1 species